rnacentral:rRNA from 1 species
AGUGGAUGGGGAGCAACCUAGUUGUGCGUGUGUAAAGGUAGUGCCAAGAAAAGCGAUGAUCAUGUUGAAAAUCAAUUCCCGGUACCCGAAACCGACACAGGUGGGCAAGUAGAGAAUACUAAGGGGCGCGAGGUAACUCUCUCCAAGGAACUCGGCAAAAUGACCCCGUAACUUAGGGAGAAGGGGUGCCACCGAGAGGUGGUCGCAGUGAAGAGGCCCAGGCGACUGUUUAGCAAAAACAUAGGUCUCUGCAAACUCGAAAGAGGAGGUAUAGGGGCUGACGCCUGCCCAGUGCCGGAAGGUUAAAGAAGUUGGUCAGUUUUAGGAUGAAGCUAGCGACUGAAGCCCCGGUGAACGGCGGCCGUAACUAUAACGGUCCUAAGGUAGCGAAAUUCCUUGUCGGGUAAGUUCCGACCCGCACGAAAGGCGUAACGAUCUGGGCGCUGUCUCGGAGAGAGGCUCGGCGAAAUAGGAUUGUCUGUGAGGAUACGGACUACCUGCAUUUGGACAGAAAGACCCUAUGAAGCUUUACUAUAGCUUGGAAUUGUGUUCGGGCUUCCUGUGCGCAGGAUAGGUGGGAGGCGUAGAAGGUAUUCUUGUGGGGAUACUGGAGCCAACGGUGAGAUACCACUCUCAGGUGGCUAGAAUUCUAACUUAAUUAAGGACAGUUUCAGGUGGGUAGUUUGACUGGGGCGGUCGCCUCCAAAAAGGUAACGGAGGCGUACAAAGGUUCCCUCAGACUGGUUGGAAAUCGGUCGAAGAGUGCAAAGGCAGAAGGGAGCUUGACUGCGAGAAGUACAGUUCGAGCAGGGUGGAAACACGGUCUUAGUGAUCCGACGGUGCUGUGUGGAAGGGCCGUCGCUCAACGGAUAAAAGUUACUCUAGGAUAACAGGCUGAUCUCCCCCAAGAGUUCACAUCGACGGGGAGGUUUGGCACCUCGAUGUCGGCUCAUCGCAACCUGGGGCGGAAGUACGUCCCAAGGGUUGGGCUGUUCGCCCAUUAAAGCGGUACGUGAGCUGGGUUCAGAACGUCGUGAGACAGUUCGGUCCAUAUCCGAUGUAGGCGUGAGAAUAUUGAGAGGAGCCUUCCUUAGUACGAGAGGACCGGGAAGGACGCACCGCUGGUGUACCUGUUAUGAUGCCAAUUGUAAACGCAGGGUAGCCAAGUGCGGAGAGGAUAACCGCUGAAAGCAUCUAAGUGGGAAGCCCACCUCAAGAUGAGUAUUCUGGUGUAAGGUCGCGGGAAGACGACCCGUAAAUAGGCACGAGGUGGAAGUGCAGAGAUGUAUGAAGCCGAAGUGUACUAAUAGACCGUCGGCUUGACC